AUACGUAGGUGGCAAGCGUUAUCCGGAUUUAUUGGGCGUAAAGCGAGCGCAGGUGGUUUUUUAAGUCUGAUGUGAAAGCCCUCGGCUUAACCGAGGAAGCGCAUCGGAAACUGGGAAACUUGAGUGCAGAAGAGGACAGUGGGACUCCAUGUGUAGCGGUGAAAUGCGUAGAUAUAUGGAAGAACACCAGUGGCGAAGGCGGCUGUCUGGUCUGUAACUGACGCUGAGACUCGAAAGCAUGGGUAGCGAACAGGAUUAGAUACCCUGGUAGUCCAUGCCGUAAACGAUGAAUGCUAGGUGUUGGAGGGUUUCCGCCCUUCAGUGCCGCAGCUAACGCAUUAAGCAUUCCGCCUGGGGAGUACGACCGCAAGGUUGAAACUCAAAGGAAUUGACGGGGGCCCGCACAAGCGGUGGAGCAUGUGGUUUAAUUCGAAGCAACGCGAAGAACCUUACCAGGUCUUGACAUCUUUUGAUCACCUGAGAGAUCAGGUUUCCCCUUCGGGGGCAAAAUGACAGGUGGUGCAUGGUUGUCGUCAGCUCGUGUCGUGAGAUGUUGGGUUAAGUCCCGCAACGAGCGCAACCCUUAUGACUAGUUGCCAGCAUUUAGUUGGGCACUCUAGUAAGACUGCCGGUGACAAACCGGAGGAAGGUGGGGAUGACGUCAAAUCAUCAUGCCCCUUAUGACCUGGGCUACACACGUGCUACAAUGGAUGGUACAACGAGUUGCGAGACCGCGAGGUCAAGCUAAUCUCUUAAAGCCAUUCUCAGUUCGGACUGUAGGCUGCAACUCGCCUACACGAAGUCGGAAUCGCUAGUAAUCGCGGAUCAGCACGCCGCGGUGAAUACGUUCCCGGGCCUUGUACACACCGCCCGUCACACCAUGAGAGUUUGUAACACCCGAAGCCGGUGGCGUAACCCUUUUAGGGAGCGAGCCGUCUAAGGUGGGACAAAUGAUUAGGGUG
rnacentral:rRNA from 1 species